UACGAAGGGUGCAAGCGUUACUCGGAAUUACUGGGCGUAAAGCGUGCGUAGGCGGUUUGUUAAGUCCGUUGUGAAAGCCCUGGGCUCAACCUGGGAAUUGCAGUGGAUACUGGCAAGCUAGAGUACGGUAGAGGAUGGUGGAAUUCCCGGUGUAGCGGUGAAAUGCGUAGAGAUCGGGAGGAACACCCGUGGCGAAGGCGGCCAUCUGGACCAGUACUGACGCUCAUGCACGAAAGCGUGGGGAGCAAACAGG
rnacentral:rRNA from 1 species